GCACACUGGAGACUUCUGGGAAAUUUAACAGGAAUUUUGGAAUUGUGACCCCUCAUGGAACACCUGAUGUAGGUGAGUUAAUGUGGAGGAAUGAGGAAUCUCCUCUUCAGAGCUGGCAGCUUCCAGCUGAUCCAAACAGAGUUUGAACAGAUUUUCCUCUCUUUAAUGUGAGAAAUGAGAGAAACAAUCUUUAUUUGGAAAAUCUGAAAUAAAUGAGGCCUGCAGGACAAACUCCAGCUCGAUGAUUGAGGAGAAAAAUGGAACUUUGGAUCUCCAGCACAGAUGAGCGUCUGAACGUGCGGGUGAUGAUCGACGAGCAGCAGCUGCUGUCCAAUCAUCAUUUGGAGUCUGCUGGAGGCUCUGUGCUGAUGAGCUGCAGCUCCGAGUGUUUGUUGGUGGUGGGGGUACAGGUAGAGCGACAGGAGCGCUCUUCAAGCAUGAACAUGUAUGUGAAGGAGUUUGUCCUUUGAUUGACUCUUCAGAGCAGAACACGCUUCCUUCUGCAGUUUUGGAUUCUUACCAAAAGGGGGCGCUGCAACGACUUUUGAUCAUGACGUCAGAAACGGUGAAGCCAAACUUGAAGUUCACGUCAGCAGGAAGCGUAAAAACAGCAGCUGAACCAUCGGCUGAAGCUGGAAUUCUUCUGCCUGUCCAACCGUUUGUGUUUGCUGAAUCCUUCACACUGCUGUUUAGCUCUGUAGCCACGAGGAGAUCCUGAAUCCGGGUCUCCCUGUGCCGGUCCCCAGCCCGGAUGAAACACAGGGUUGAAUCUGGUGUGAUUCAGUUUUAUGUUGAUAGAAAAGUUUUUAAAACCAAAAACUGUAAAACAAGCUUUAAAGAGAUGUGUGUAGUGACAUGUUUUGAUAAUUAAACCUUGACCUUUAACCUUUUCUUGACUCUGUUUUAUAUUUUUUUUUUUUAGUGUGCUGCACUUUGUGAUUUUUAUCUUUAAAGAUGUUAAAAAUUAUUAUUACAAUGAUGCAACUUCUAUCUGGAGUCUGCAGCAAACCACCUGCUGUUAAAAUAAAGUUCAUUUAAAACAUUUAAUGUUAAAGCUUUAAAUAAACCAAAAAAAUCAGCCGAUCAGGAAAAACCUUUUCCAAAAAAAUGCAAUUUUAGCAACUUAAAUAGGAUUUUAAGUUAGAGAAUUAAAAUAAUUUUUAUUUUUUUAGAAGAUUUAUUUUCUGUAAAAUAAUCUUGUUUUUUUUUGUUAUGCCAAGGUAAAUGUUGGUGAAAAAUAUUAGCAAAUUAAUUUACUUGAUUUUGGAAAAAACAAACCCCUUUAAAAGUGAU
rnacentral:lncRNA from 1 species